rfam:Gossypium raimondii Chr05_contig_1354, whole genome shotgun sequence.
UAUUAAAAAUUUCAUCCAUUUGUACUGUUCAAAACUGGCAUGGUUGACGGAAUAACUGGACAUUGAUACAUGACAUGCCACGUGUACAUCAUAUUGACGUACAGGGACCAGUUUUAACAGUAGAAGUGGAUGUAAUUUUUAAUA